CCUACGGGAGGCAGCAGUGGGGGAUAUUGCACAAUGGGGGAAACCCUGAUGCAGCGACGCCGCGUGUGGGAAGACGGUCCUCUGGAUUGUAAACCACUGUCCCCAGGGACGAAGAUGACGGUACCUGGGGAGGAAGCUCCGGCUAACUACGUGCCAGCAGCCGCGGUAAUACGUAGGGAGCGAGCGUUGUACGGAAUUACUGGGUGUAAAGGGAGCGUAGGCGGGGCUGUAAGUUGGGUGUCAAAUCUACCGGCUCAACCGGUAGCCGACAUUGAAACUGCAGUUCUUGAGUGAAGUAGAGGUAUGCGGAAUGCGUGGUGUAGCGGUGAAAUGCGUAGAUAUCAGGCGGAACACCAGUGGCGAAGGCGGCCUGCUGGGCUCCGACUGACGCUGAGGCUCGAAAGUGUGGGGAGCGAACAGGAUUAGAUACCCGAGUAGUC
rnacentral:rRNA from 1 species